UUUCUCUAAUUUUCUACUAUUUUUGCUCAUUCUUUUUCUUUUUUCUUUUUCUUUUUCUUUUUUGGGGUAAGGGCUAAUGAUACAAUGUUCAAUGAGUGACGCUAAACGUCGGAAAGGCUAAGAGAAUCCUGAGAGAAACGGCAGCUUGUACUGUCGUUUCACGCGUGUUCUCGUGGCCCCACCCCCCACGUUACGUUCUCUUUUCUUUUUAACUUAACGUUUGCUGUAGUCGGCCUUUUGCUGCAGUCAACUCAUCUCUCCAGUACCAGAAACUACCGUAUCUUCUCCCUCCCCUCAAUUUCAUCGGCAUCAUCGGCACUCUCUCUUGUCAAUGGCAUCGUUACCGACAACCAUCUCUUUCUCUUCAGCUCGUCACGACAGACACCACCAGUCCGGUUUGUCACUUCGUCCGGAUCUCUCCAUUAUUCCAGGUGUGUUUCCCCUAUUUUUUUGUUCUGAAAAACCCAAACAAAUGAAGAACAACACCUGUAUUGAUUUCGAUUUUUUGAUUCCAAGUCAAAGGGGUGCUUGGCUUUUAAUUAUACAAGAUAGAAGACGAAACCAAAUUUUGAUGUUGAUGAAGAAGAAGAAACAAAAUUGACAGGAGGAAGAAGAAGAUAAUUGUUAUGAUGAUGUUGUUGAUGAAGAAGAUGAAAUUGACGAUGGAGAGAAGUAACAAAGAAAUUGCAGAAGAGAGAGAAAGAAAAAAGUGAAGAAGAUAAAAGAAGAAAAAAACAGAGGAGAGAUAAAAUAAUAUAAAAAACAAAAGAGGAAAUGCUUAAAGUAAAGUGGGGGUGGGGCCAAGAGAACACGCGCAAAACGUCAGCACAAACUGCUGUUUCUCUCGGGAUUCUCUCAGCCUUCCCGACGUUAAGCAUUUUCCAUGUUGAAUAAGAGAAAUUUAUCGUCCCUUACAAAAGUAAAAUAAAAUAUUGCAGCAACUUUUUAUAUCACUGAAAAAUUGAAAAUUAACUUUAAAAUAUGAGAAAUGGAAUUAGA
rnacentral:lncRNA from 1 species